GGCUCUGUGAUUACUUUGCCUAAUUGGCAGUAUACGCUAUUCUGAUAUUUAUGAAGGAUAAAUCAUUUUUGACUUAAUGAGAGCC
rfam:Capsella rubella cultivar Monte Gargano unplaced genomic scaffold scaffold_6, whole genome shotgun sequence.